rnacentral:misc_RNA from 1 species
GAUGAAGAACGUAGCGAAAUGCGAUAAGUAGUGUGAAUUGCAGAAUUCCGUGAAUCAUCGAAUCUUUGAACGCACAUUGCGCCUUCUGGUAUUCCGGAAGGCAUGCCUGUUCGAGAGUCAUUAACAACCGUUUCGAUCCCUUUCUUUCAGAAAUUACAAAGAGGAAAAGGGUUUGGUUAUGGUGGAGGAGGGAAAGGGAGCGUUUAGCCUGUAAAAAAAGAGGCUGUGUUCCGCCUCCCCCCCAAAAUUGUACAGGCGGUCGUGUGCGCCCACGCAUCGAGGUGUUGUAAAAGCUGCCACGGCACUUUUCACCUGUGCAGUGCGAGAUUGGCCAGCCGGUUUAAAAACCCCUCCAAACAGUCAAAGGUUGACCUCGGAUCAGGUAGGGAUACCCGCUGAACUUAAGCAUAUCAAUAAGCGGAGGA